UACAGAGGGUGCAAGCGUUAAUCGGAAUUACUGGGCGUAAAGCGUGCGUAGUCGGUUAUCUAAGUCGGGUGUGAAAUCCCCGGGCUCAACCCGGGAACUGCGUCCGAUACUGGCAUGCUUGAAUCCGGGAGAGGGAUGCGGAAUUCCAGGUGUAGCGGUGAAAUGCGUAGAUAUCUGGAGGAACACCGGUGGCGAAGGCGGCAUCCUGGACCGGUAUUGACGCUGAGGCGCGAAAGCGUGGGGAGCAAACAGG
rnacentral:rRNA from 1 species